rnacentral:rRNA from 1 species
GAGUUUGAUCCUGGCUCAGAAUCAACGCUGGCGGCGUGCCUCAGACAUGCAAGUCGAACGAUUAAAGCCCUCUUCGGAGGGUGUAUAGAGUGGCGCACGGGUGAGUAACACGUAAGUAAUCUACCCUCGAGUGGGGAAUAACAACCGGAAACGGUUGCUAAUACCGCAUAAUGCAGCGGCACCGCAAGGUGACAGUUGUUAAAGAUUUAUUGCUUGAGGAGGAGCUUGCGGCAGAUUAGCUAGUUGGUAAGGUAAUGGCUUACCAAGGCAACGAUCUGUAGCCGGUCUAAGAGGACGGUCGGUCACACUGACACUGAAUAACGGGUCAGACUCCUACGGGAGGCAGCAGUCGGGAAUUUUGGGCAAUGGGCGAAAGCCUGACCCAGCAACGCCGCGUGAAGGAUGAAGUAUUUCGGUAUGUAAACUUCGUAAGAAUAGGAAGAAUAAAUGACGGUACUAUUUGUAAGGUCCGGCUAACUACGUGCCAGCAGCCGCGGUAAUACGUAGGGACCAAGCGUUGUUCGGAUUUACUGGGCGUAAAGGGCGCGUAGGCGGCAUGACAAGUCACUUGUGAAAUCUCCGGGCUUAACUCGGAACGGCCAAGUGAUACUGUCGCGCUAGAGUGCAGAAGGGGCAAUCGGAAUUCUUGGUGUAGCGGUGAAAUGCGUAGAUAUCAAGAGGAACACCUGAGGUGAAGACGGGUUGCUGGGCUGACACUGACGCUGAGGCGCGAAAGCUAGGGUAGCAAACGGGAUUAGAUACCCCGGUAGUCCUAGCCCUAAACGAUGAAUACUUGGUGUCUGGAGUUUUUAUCCUCCGGGUGCCGUCGCUAACGUUUUAAGUAUUCCGCCUGGGGAGUACGCACGCAAGUGUGAAACUCAAAGGAAUUGACGGGGACCCGCACAAGCGGUGGAGCAUGUGGUUUAAUUCGACGCAACGCGAAGAACCUUACCUGGACUAGAAUGCCUCUGACCGUCCCUUAACAGGGACUUUCCGGGCAACCGGACGGAGUGCAAGGUGCUGCAUGGCUGUCGUCAGCUCGUGUCGUGAGAUGUUGGGUUAAGUCCCGCAACGAGCGCAACCC